AGUGAACGCUGGCGGCAGGCCUAAUACAUGCAAGUCGAACGGCAGCACAGCAGAGCUUGCUCUGUGGGUGGCGAGUGGCGGACGGGUGAGGAAUACACGGGAAUCUGCCCAGUCGUGGGGGAUAACGUAUGGAAACGUACGCUAAUACCGCAUGCGCCCUACGGGGGAAAGUCGGGGACCGCAAGGCCUGACGCGAUUGGAUGAGCCCAUGUUCGAUUAGCUAGUUGGCGGGGUAAAGGCCCACCAAGGCGACGAUCGAUAGCUGGUCUGAGAGGAUGAUCAGCCACACUGGAACUGAGACACGGUCCAGACUCCUACGGGAGGCAGCAGUAGGGAAUAUUGGACAAUGGGGGCAACCCUGAUCCAGCCAUGCCGCGUGAGUGAAGAAGGCCCUCGGGUUGUAAAGCUCUUUUGUCCGGAAAGAAAGCAUCUGGUUAAUACCCGGGUGUUCUGACGGUACCGGAAGAAUAAGCACCGGCUAACUUCGUGCC
rnacentral:rRNA from 1 species